GGAAGGGUAGCUCAGUGGGAGAGCACCACCGGUACACCGGUGGCAGCCUUUCAGGCUUCGCGUGGUUCGACUCCCGCCCCUUCCA
rnacentral:tRNA from 1 species